rnacentral:rRNA from 1 species
GUCUGUGCGAAGGUAUGUAGAGUCUGGCCUGCCCACUGACUUAGCGUGUUUUAAGGGCCGCGGUAUUUUGACCGUGCGAAGGUAGCAUAAUCAUUAGUCUUUUAAUUGAAGGCUCGUAUGAAUGGUCGGACAAAAAGUAAGCUGUCUUCAACUGUAAAAAUUGAAUUUGACUUUUAAGUGAAAAGGCUUAAAUAGUACAAAGUGACGAUAAGACCCUAUAAAGCUUUAUAGCGAAACUUUUUAUUAUAAAUUAUCGAACUGUAUAACUUAAUUUAAAGUGAAACUUUUUCGUUGGGGCGACGAAAAUAUAAUAAAAUAACUGUUUUUGUUUAAACAAUACAAGCAUAUUUGAUUUUAAUGAAUGAUCCUUUAUUAAAGAUUAAAAGAUUAAGUUACUUUAGGGAUAACAGCGUAAUCUUCUUUGAGAGUUCAUAUCGACAAGAAGGGUUGCGACCUCGAUGUUGAAUUAAGGUUCCUGUGCGGUGUAGCAGCUGCGAUUGGAGGUCUGUUCGACCUUUAAACCCUU